rnacentral:rRNA from 1 species
UACGAAGGGUGCAAGCGUUAAUCGGAAUUACUGGGCGUAAAGGGUGCGUAGACGGCCUGAUAAGUCGAAUGUGAAAGUCCUGGGCUCAACCUGGGGACGGCAUUCGAUACUGUUUGGCUUUGAGUUUGGGAGAGGGUGGUGGAAUUCCCGGUGUAGCGGUGAAAUGCGUAGAGAUCGGGAGGAACAUCUGUGGCGAAGGCGGCCACCUGGCCUGAAACUGACGUUGAGGCACGAAAGCGUGGGGAGCAAACAGG